GACGAACGCUGGCGGCGUGCUUAACACAUGCAAGUCGAACGGUGAAGGGGUCUGCUUUUGUGGGCCCUGGAUGAGUGGCGAACGGGUGAGUAACACGUGAGUAACCUGCCCCCUUCUUCUGGAUAACCGCAUGAAAGUGUGGCUAAUACGGGAUAUUCUGGCUCUGUCGCAUGAUGGGUCUGGGAAAGAUUGCGCCUUUGGGUGUUUUUGGUGGGGGAUGGGCUCGCGGCCUAUCAGCUUGUUGGUGGGGUGAUGGCCUACCAAGGCGGUGACGGGUAGCCGGCCUGAGAGUGUGGACGGUCAGACGGGGACUGAGACACGGCCCAGACUCAUACGGGAGGCAGCAGUGGGGAAUAUUGCACAGUGGGCGAAAGCCUGAUGCAGCGACGCCGCGUGAGGGAUGGAGGCCUUCGGGUUGUAAACCUCUUUCGCCAGUGAAGCAGGCCUGCUCCUUGUGGGUGGGUUGACGGUAGCUGGAUAAGAAGCGCCGGCUAACUACGUG
rnacentral:rRNA from 1 species